rnacentral:tRNA from 1 species
UCUUAGGUGACUGAGCUAAAGUGCUAGACUUUUAAUCUAGAGACAGCAUGUAUAGGAAUGCUUCUAAGAA